AAGGGUAACCUCCGACCCUACCUAGUUCAACUAAAUGAGCUAAAUUUUCAGAAUUUACCCCAUUUCUGAAAACUUAGUUCAUUUGGUUGAACUAAGUAGGGUUGGAGGAUACCCUA
rfam:Triticum aestivum genome assembly, contig: Triticum_aestivum_CS42_TGACv1_scaffold_177289_2DS